AGAACGACUCUCGGCAACGGAUAUCUCGGCUCUCGCAUCGAUGAAGAACGUAGCGAAAUGCGAUACUUGGUGUGAAUUGCAGAAUCCCGUGAACCAUCGAGUCUUUGAACGCAAGUUGCGCCCGAAGCCUUCGGGCCAAGGGCACGUCUGCCUGGGCGUCACGC
rnacentral:rRNA from 1 species